UACGUAGGUGACAAGCGUUGUCCGGAUUUACUGGGCGUAAAGAGCGCGCAGGCGGUCGAUCAAGUCGAGUGUGAAAGCCCCCGGCUCAACUGGGGGAGGGUCAUUCGAUACUGAUCGACUCGAAGGCAGGAGAGGGUAGUGGAAUUCCCGGUGUAGUGGUGAAAUGCGUAGAUAUUAGGAAGAACACCAGUGGCGAAGGCGGCUCACUGGCCCGGUACUGACGCUGAGGAGCGAAAGCGUGGGGAGCAAACAGG
rnacentral:rRNA from 1 species